CCUACGGGAGGCAGCAGUGGGGAAUAUUGCGCAAUGGGCGAAAGCCUGACGCAGCGACGCCGCGUGAGGGAUGAAGGUCUUCGGAUCGUAAACCUCUGUCAGCAGGGAAGAACGGUCACUGUGCUAAUCAGCAGUGAAUUGACGGUACCUGCAAAGGAAGCACCGGCUAACUCCGGGCCAGCAGCCGCGGUAAUACGGAGGGUGCGAGCGUUAGUCGGAAUUACUGGGCGUAAAGCGCUCGUAGGCGGGAGGUCAAGUCAAGGGGGAAAUCCCCGCGCGCAACGUGGGAACUGCCUUUGAAACUGGCAAACUGGAGUGUGUGAGAGGAUAGUGGAAGUCCAGGGGUAGGAGUGAAAUCCGUAGAUAUCUGGAGGAACAUCAGUGGCGAAGGCGACUAUCUGGCACAUAACUGACGCUGAGGAGCGAAAGCGUGGGUAGCAAACAGGAUUAGAUACCCUUGUAGUC
rnacentral:rRNA from 1 species